rnacentral:lncRNA from 1 species
ACUGAUAUUGAAGACCACCAUAUUUUGACGUGCCACAUUCCUCUUGUGUAGGUGACGUGGCGUGAGUGUGGCAAUCGUGGCUGUGUGCAUCGACCUUGUAUUCUCUGAACCCGUAUUUGAUCCCCAUAUUGGUGCUUUCUAGAUCCCUUGUACUGGAGCUAGACCUGCAUUUGAUCCUGAUUUGACUCUUUUUUUAAUGAAAUUAGGCUGCCAAUAUUGACUGCUGCAACUGGGGCUCUUGGGGCAACAUUCAGUCCUCAUUUAGACAGUUAUGAUCCCCAACCUUCUGAACUUCCAUCUUCAUCAGUAUCCCCAAGGUAAAAUUCAAGCUUCGUUUUCAUUUAUAUUACAGGGUUUUAGAUUUCAUAUUGGAGAAAAGGCUUUUUUUCCCAGCUUGUAUUGAAAGCCAUAUCACAAGUUGCUGAGGUUAGACCAUUCACAGUGCCGAACUGAUUCAAAGAAAAAUUUGGCAGGGUUUGGAAUCUCUUCCAUUUCACUCUAGUGUUGAAAAAUUGUAAUCACUUUCCAUGUGGAGUUGCAACUUAUUCAUGUACCAUCCAGCCUUAGUUUUCUCUUUCCAUAUGGGCCAACCAUCUUUACUCUUGAGUCCUGACACAUUGAUUUGUCUGAACCAAAGCAACAAUUUAGUUUGCUUCCUGCUUUGACACACUAAUUCAUCAAUCUCCAAUGAACCGACUCAAGCAAGGCUUCAAACCACUUCUCCACCACACUGUGAAUGGUCUUACCAGUUAGCAGCUUGAAAUUUUGGUAGCAUAAUGCCUGUAAACUUGGAUCUAAAUAAGUCACAAGCAAGCAAAAUAUGCAUAUAGCUUCCGAAGGAGAGCAAUAUCACCCCAGAGCCCCCCUCACCCCCAUAGAGCCAAGCCUCAGCUCAGUCCUCAUCAUCACAACAUCGAUCCUACUGCAAACCAAGAUUCAAAUGAAUCUUAGCCAGUAAAUGGUACAAUUGCCACAUAUAACAUUGAAACUGUAUAGGUGAAGGUCUCAAGAGCUCGCCUGCUGUUUCCCUUCCUCGGGAUUACCUCACUUCUAGUCAUCUACUUCGCGAUGAGAAAAUCUAGACAGUAGUUGUAGUUACAUCAGAUUGUUUCUAAAGAUUUUGGCUGUUUUCAGUGCAAUCAGGAUAACAAUAUUUUGGAUUAUUGAUGCACCUAAACACCUUAGGGCCUCUUUGAUUCGCAUGAUUUUGAAAAUGUAGGAAUAGGAAAAACACAGGAAUAUGAUAGGAAUGCAUGUGCAAAACAGAGGAUCGAAAAACACAGGGAUUUUAUAGACUUUGAUGUUUGAUUCACAGGAAUAGGAAAAACACAGGAAUCCUAAUAAACAUGGUCAAUUUAGGUCAAACCAUUAACAAAAGUAAAUGAUUAGUGUUCAUAUCCCACUAAAUACCAUUGUCCUGUUGUUUGUGCAAAGGAAUUCAAAAAAGAGGUCUAGGUGGAUUGUAGAAGUCCUGUGUUUUUCCUUUGAAAAUGGGGUGAACGGAAACUUUUCCAGUGUUUUUCCUAUACUAAUUCCUUUGAAUCAAAUGGUGAAUACUCUCACUAAAGGAAAACUUUCCUAUUCCUGUGGUUUUCCUAUGAAUCAAAGAGGCCUUUAACCUUAGAGCUAAGUUUUUCUAUUUAUUUUUCACAAAAAAAGACGUCAAUUCUUUUGGUUACACUUAAUUUAAUGGCUGGUUUAAAAACUUACAAGUUUCUUAACUAGUCUUUCUAUGUACUUCUGUGUUCCCUGUGCAAGUCUUAGUCUUGCUUUAGCUGUCUUCUUGGGAACUCUAGUACUCGUAUAAUAGUCUUUUGACUGUCAAAAGAUGUUUACGCAUGCACAGUGAGUAUACUGUUGCCUGGAUAAUGGAGGCAGGACGUGCAAGGUUUUUUCCUUGUUUUACCACUUGUUCCAUUGAUUUUUAUAUGCGUCAACUCAACGCCUUGCACUCAUGAAUUUGUGCAAAUUUAUAAUUAUGUUUCUGGGUGUGUAUUUCCUUUCUUGAUUCUAGCUAGUUCGUUUCAGAUUCUAGUUUUUCUAUCCAUGUGGCCAACGGUCUAACUAUUUAAAUUUAGAUUCUAUGACUUUUUUUUGCGGCGAAUAUUCUUUGACUUGUUGCUUGUUGAACUUGCAUUGUUCUUGCUCUCUUUACAAACAAUAACUAUUGUGCAGUAGGACAAAGGUUAUCCAUUGAUUUAUCUUAAUUCUUUGUUUCCCUGCAGAAACCUGGGUGCAACUGAAGUUCCUCGCUGAACUCCGAAGAAAUACCAGGUGAAACCACUACUCAAUUACUUUUGUGUUUUUUUUUCUUUUAGUGUUGACUGAUUUUUAAAUGGUUUUCAUUUCCCUGAUAUUAUUCUAAAAGUAUACGAGUUAUUUGUGUUAUUUUUCAUACCUUUUUGGCCGAGGUUGUAGGUCAUGAAUUUGGUCAGCGCAAGAACAGAACUCGCAGGUAAGUUCAGACCGUGGGGAUUCAUUAGGUCUAUGCUUUGUGUGUUGAAGUAUAUGCAUUGACAUCAGUUACAUUUUUGGUUAGAUACUCGGAGAUGAACUUUACUUCAUCAUGAUGAGUUUGGUCACUGACAAAGUGGACUCGUGGAACCAGCUUUCAGUCUCUACAGAACUAGCACAAUCUAUUGUUAGAGUGGUCAAUUAUAUUGGCGUACAUGUCAGUACUUUCUUAAGACCCAAGUCCUGAGCCCCUGUAUUUUGCUCUGAAACAUUCCAUUCAGCAGGUAUGCACAUUUCUUUUGCAGUUUUCGAGUAGUUGUGAUCGUAGAAUCCGAUACUCGUACCUUCUCCAUUAUUUACUGCAGUUGCCUUGAUUGCAUUGAGAUGUGAAUCUGUACGGUUUUGUUAUAGUACUCGUAUUCUCUAGCAGUUCAGCAAUCACUAGGAAUGCUAACCAAUCUGUAUUCCGAAGUAUAUGUAUUGCGAUCGUGCAUUGUUUCUUCAGCUAUUUACUCCCGUGUAUGCUUGAUGUAAUGCCCGAAAUCAGUGGAUAGGUUCACCAGUGUAAAUCUGUAAUAUCGCUGCUCAUUGCACCCUUGCCAGGUUGGACUUUUCAAGUAAUACAAGACCUUGCUGUAGUCAUGGGUGCUGGCCUGCGGCCUGCCUCUUCUUCCGGGCUUCGGGUUGUUAGGUAAGAUCUCUGUGGUAUAUACGAUAAGCUAUGUUGAUUUUUCAUGGGCUUGCUUUUAUUGAUUGCUUAUGACCUUAGCAGUU